UACGAAGGGGGGCUAGCGUUGCUCGGAAUUACUGGGCGUAAAGGGCGCGUAGGCGGAUAUUUAAGUUAGAGGUGAAAGCCCAGGGCUCAACCCUGGAAUAGCCUUUAAUACUGGAUAUCUUGAGUUCGGGAGAGGUGAGUGGAAUGCCGAGUGUAGAGGUGAAAUUCGUAGAUAUUCGGCGGAACACCAGUGGCGAAGGCGACUCACUGGCCCGAUACUGACGCUGAUGCGCGAAAGCGUGGGGGAGCAAACAGG
rnacentral:rRNA from 1 species